rnacentral:lncRNA from 1 species
CAAAAAAAAACUACAUUUAUUUUUACUUUACUUUUAAUUUUAAUUUUUUAAUUACUUUUUCUUUAGAUAAAUUAAUUAAUAUUCUCAAGAAUAUUAUUGCAAAUGUAUUACUGUAAAAGCAAAAAAAAAAAAAAAAGUAAGUCCACGAGUGUAACAUACUAACAAUAUGAGUUUUUUUAGAUACUUUUUUAAAAUAUGGAGAUUAAACGGACACUUAGACCAAAAUAUAGGGAGUAAACAAAUAUUUACUCGAACAAACAACUUCAAACAUAUUAAUUCUAUAUUAAUACGUGUUCGAUUAUACGCGGUUGACUAGUUCCUAAUUUACGUAUACAGUGUUGUUUGAUUAGCAGUUAUUUAGCAUUGUGUAAGACCAAACGUGAAUUUUAGAUUUUGCAAACAUCUCCUCACGAGGAUCACUAACAAGUGAAAGUUCAAAGCAAACAACAUUCAGACCCUGAUUAAUUCUUCUGCCCCCUAGUUAGUGUCCUGAAUAGUCGCCAAUUACAUUCAAUCUACAAGUCGAAAGGAACAUUUCAGUGUUGCCGGGACGGACAAGCGGGGGCUAAUGUCCCUAUAAAUUAAAAAAAAAAGCUUCUUUCCUGUCCGGUCAAAGCCUUUGCCUUAUGCCUCCUUUAAAAAGUUAUAAAAUAGAUCCUAUGGUUUCCAGCCUUUUUUUUCAAGGGUCAAAACUCUCCAUCCUAAAAUUAAUAUUUUUUUUUUUUUUGAAGAAAUUUGUAUCUAUCAUUGUUCAAAGUUAUCAUCCCCUUUAAAUAAAAUUUAUAUCUCCGUCUUUAUAGUUGCAACAUCUUUCUCUAUGAAAACAAAUAAUAAGAGUAUCACAUCAAAUUCAUCGAGCCGUACGGUCACUCUCAAUUAAAUUAGUAAGAGAUCAAUAAUUGGAGAAAAAAUGGGACCACAUUUUUCUUAUAAUCGACUACUACUCUAUUAAACAACUGGAGAAAAAAAUAGGACCAUUUUUUUCUUAUAAUCGACUACUACUCUACUUUGGACCGCACAAAAGUAUAUGGAAGAGAUAAUUUGAGCGUGCAUGGCAUGGCUCAUGAGUGAAAAUAAAAAUAAAUCGGGCGUGGUGUUUAAGUUGUUGACGUUGCGGUCCUGUGACGUUGGAAACAAGUGACAGACGGUACAGGCUUAGUGGGGGCAUCAACUGCGCAUGAAUUGGCACAAUCUUGGCAUCUUCUUAUUAUUAUGCAUGACUUGUAAGUGACGUUGCAGUAGCACACUAGCACAUUGCCUUUCACGUUUCAUCAAAUUUGGGGGGCGACAGUCGAAUAAGACAUUGAGGAUUCUCUUCUUUUGAAAGGUAUCUCUUUUUCAGCAGCCUUGUGACGUAACAUGAGACAAAAAUUAAUAUAUUUUUUGUCUUUCUUCCUCCAAUUUGCUUUGCUUUUUUUUUUUUUUUUUUUUGAAGUUUAAAAUUUCAUUUGCGUGGAUCAUGUAAGCUAGCUGCAUGAGACUGGCCCAACGUUUACCAAUCCGUCAACAAACUGGCUCAAUUUUGUGGGCCUUAAGAACCAUCUGGAACCAGUUUGGAUUUGAAAUAUGUCGGGCUGAAACUGCAGUGAUUUUAUCUCGGCAUCUCUCUAAGAACCUCUUAUGACUCCUUUUCUUUAUUUACCCCCUUAAAAUACUUUUAAAAAGUAAUAUAUGUUUCUUAUGACACUUCCUUUAAGAGUAAUGUUAUACAUUCUAAUUUUUUAUCUAAAAAAUAAUCUCAGAUGAUGUGGCACUCAUCAGUUGAUUGGUGAGAUGAUACGAUUAAUUUCACUUAGAUUUUGUAAAGAAUUACUAACUACUCAAUAAAUUAUGCGUCGACAUUUAGGAUAAAAUGUGGGAUAUCAUUACUCCUGUAAUGAUUAAGAUAACUUUAAAUAAAAUAUUGACUAUAAAAAAAUCAAAUAUUUUAUUGUUCAUUUUCUCAAGUUCAAAUUAUGGCAAUGGAGAAAAUUUUCUUCCAAGUACUUUUGGGGUGUGUUUACUUGUAGGAUUAAGGAAUCAGAAUUCGGAAUGAAAAUGGUUGAUAGUAUUUACUUGUUGAAGUAGAAAGAGAAAUGAGAAAAAUAUAUAUGGAGCCUAAAUAUUUUUUAGAUUAAAGAAUGGAAACUUGAUUCCUAUGGAAGAGUUGGAAAUCAAAUUUCUCAUUCCUUGAACUCUCCAUUUUAUCUCGUAAAAUUUUCAUAAUUUUCAAAUUGCUCUCAAUAAAUUUUGUCACUUUUAUAUUUUAGUCCCCGAAAAUUUUAUAAUAUUUAUAAAUAGGUCCUUCAUUAUUUAACAACAACAGCAUGAACAACAACAACAAUUAAUUAUUUUGAAUAAUAAUAAUAAAUAUAAUCACAAUUACUAUAAUAAAUAAUGACAAUAAUCAAUUAAGAUCAUUUUAGUAACUUGCAAUAAUCUAUUGUGAUUCUAAAGACAAAGUAAAUAAUUUAUUUUGAUUUCUAAUCUCCAUUACGAUUCAUUCAAUUCCAGUUACCGAUUAACGGAGGCACCAAUAUUUUAUAGAAAAUAUAAAACGAGUCUAAAUAAUUACACUAUAUUAUACCAAAGUUGAUUUUAGCAAGUUUUAACAUUUUUUUAAUUAUAAAUGUUAGGUAAAUUUGUAAUGUAAUUUAAAAAACUAUAUAUAAUUGUGUCAUUUUUCUAUGAUGUUUUGUCCUUCAAAGUAGAAAUCUUUUUUGUAGAAUAGGUUUUGGCAUUUACUUGUUUAUUUAUUUUGUUUAAUUGCAGUCGUGGUACCCCCCUUUUUUUUUUUUUUUAAGAUGUCGUUGAUGUUCAUUCUAGAGGUUACUUUAAAAUCCUAUCCCAUGAAAGUAACACCAACCUAUAAUUUUCAAAUUGUAUCCAUCAUUCCUUGAAAAAAAAAAAAAUUGAACGUAUCACAAUUUCAAAAGUCUUCAGUUGUUUCAUUCACAUAAACAAUGUGACCAUCAACAUAGGAUAAAUUUUAACUACGUAAUUCGUUCAUCUUGCCACAUAAUUAUAAUAAUGGGUCCGCCUACGUUACAUGUGGUGUAACGUACACUCAGCCUGUGAAAUUUCAUCUAGCCCCUUAUAUUUUCUGUUAUUUAUAUUUUAUUCAUAAAUAUUAUAAAUUUUUUGAAAUGUACAAUUUCGUUUAACCCCUUAUACACUCAAUUUUAUUUUAUUAAAACCUUAGAGUAUGAAUUCGCCCCUAUAAUAUUAAAUUCUCAAAAUAACCUCUAUUUAAUUAAAAAUAUAAUUAUUGUUAAAUGAAUUAUAAUUAUAAUUAUUAUUUUAUUAUAAUCAUAAAUAUUUUUUUUAAUAGAUUAUUGUUAUUAUUAAUAACAAGAAUAAAAAGCAUUAUAAUUAAUCUAUUAACAACAAUUAAUAAUAUUUUUUUAUUAAAUUGUUAAUAAUAAUAAUAAUAAUCAAUGAUAAUUAAUAUAUUUAUGAUUAUAAUAAAAUAUGAAAGGAGAGCGGAGACUUUUAUUUUGAAUAAACUAGUUCCGAUUAACAUAUUUAUGAUUAUAAUAAUAUUUUUUGAGUUCUUUGGGCAAGGGAGUCUCAUGCGUGUGUGGACUUUUAGGCUGCCAGGAGAGCGGAGGCUGGAAAAAUACCUUGCGUUUAGAUAGUGACUUAUGUGUGAGUAAUAACAAUUUUUAUUAUAAAAAUAAGUUUUAUACCAAAUAUUAAAAAAAAUCUAGAUAAUCAUUAAUUAUUAUUAUUAUUAACAAUUUAAUAAAAAAUAUUAUUAAUUAUUGUUAAUAGAUUAAUUAAUUAUAAUGCUUUUUAUUCUUGUUAUUAAUAAUAACAAUAAUCUAUUAAAAAAAUAUUUAUGAUUAUAAUAAAAUAAUAAUUAUAAUUAUAAUUCAUUUAACAAUAAUUAUAUUUUUUAAUUAAAUAGAGGUUAUUUUGAGAAUUUAAUAUUAUAGGGGCCAAUUCAUACUCUAGGGUUUUAAUAAAAUAAAAUUGAGUGUAUAAGGGGUUAAACGAAAUUGUAUAUUUCAAAAAAUUUAUAAUAUUUAUGAAUAAAAUAUAAAUAACAGAAAGUAUAAGGGGCUAGAUGAAAUUUCACAGGCUGAGUGUACGUUACACCACAUGUAACGUAGGCGGACCCAUACCCUCUAAUAAUAUAUAUAAUACACGUUUUGAGAGACACAUUUUGUAUUCAAAUUUACGUGGCAAGCUCCUGACCCUACAUCUCCGGACAAGUCGAGAUCAUUCCCGCCCACUUUGAUCAAACCGUUUCCUCGAUUCCCGGCCGUAAUCGAACCGGAACAUUUUAAAUUUUAAUUUAAACGUAGGGCCCACAACCAAUCACAAUCGUCAACAAGAGAGCCCUAGUUUGCCGCCACGUACCCAUGGUUCACCCCCAUUAAAACGCGCCACAUUUGCCCCGCUGCCUCGUUUAAACCUCCAUUUGGCUUCCUCUCUCUUCUUCGAAGGGGAAUCAAAACCCUAAGGUCUGAGGCAUACCAUAAUACCGUAUCAUCCCUAAGCAUUGAGGCCUGCACACUGAAAUCUCCCACCCUUUAAAACUAUGAUCCCUCACUCCUACACCGUCGAUUCGAUCUCCCAAUCACAAGACCUCGCCUCCAAGAUCAUAUCAUCCUCCACUCCGCAGCAAAUCAUCUCCGCCUGCGCCACCAUUGAAACCUUCCUGCACUCGCGCUCGUCCGAUCAGUCCCGCCACUUCUUCUCCAUAACCUUCCCAACUCUCAUCCUCAAACUCUUCGGCUUCACCAACGACUCCUCCGCCACGUCACCUCCCCAAUGUUCAAGCUGGAUCGACAUUGUUUCCUCAUCGAACGAUCCUGAUUUCGCCUCUAGGGUUUUUCAUCUCCUCUCGCCCAAUGGCGUCGUUUUCAACUCGAUUUUCUCCAUUGACCGUAAAUCUCUGGUCAAAUUCGUCUUCCCGACAGAACGAUUACCGGAAUGGGCCCGGUUCAUGCUCUCGUCUGAAAAGGACGUUAAAAUUCUCUCAAAUUUGUGCCCGCUGUUCAAGGGUAAAGUAAAAGCUGAUUCAAUUAAGAGUCCAGGUUCAGUGUACCAGGUUCAGUUAAAUGUUUUCGAGUAUUACAUGUUUUGGUUUGCUUAUUACCCAAUAUGCAGAGCAAAUAAUGAAAACAAUGUUGACAAUCUCUUAACUAAAAGGACUAAAAAGGAGAAAUUCAGGUUAGAGAAUUGGACAUAUUCAAUUCCUGGGUUUUCGAGCAAUGCUAAGCGUGUACCAGAGCAAAAAUUUGAGUGUAAUCUUUACUUACGCCUAUUGUAUGCAUAUUUACGUGAAUUUGUGCCUAUUAGUGAUCUAAAUGUGCACCAGCACCCCUAUCGUAGCUCACUUUUGAAUUACACUAGUGGUUAUGAUGGUUCAGUUAUAUUGCGUGCGGAGUUUCUGGUUGAUGCGUUUCUGAACUAUUGGCUGAUUGAUAAUGAUUUUUCGCCUUUGAGUGUUAAUGUGUGCAAGUGGUUUGGUGUGUCACCUCGGUUGUCGGUGGUUUCGAGGGAGAUUCCACCUACAAGUGGGUUAGGAGAGUUGGUCAAGUUGUUUGUUAAGUAUCUGAAUUUGAGUUCAGUUUGGGCUAUGAAUCAGUGUGAGAGUAAUGUGGAGUGCAGUGGGAGUCCGAAGUGGAUGGUUCCAGAUUCACCUUCAGUCUUGUUUGAUAGCAGUGUGAAGAGUGGGGAUUUGGCGUCAUUAGUGCCUUGUGUGUCUGCUGUCGGGUCUUGGAAUGUGUGGAUACAAAGGCCAUUGUACAGGUUUAUUUUGAGGACAUUCUUGUUUUGUCCGGUGGGGACUUCGAUCAAGAGUGCAUCCGAGGUGUUUUCCAUCUGGGUUUUUUAUAUGGAGCCAUGGAGUAUUACCAUUGAUGAUUUUGUUGGAUUUGAUGCACUUAUAAAUGGGUGUACUAAGAAUGCUAGGAAGGAGGAUUCUCAAUCCCAGGAUUGUGGUUAUUCGUCUUUGUGGCAGGGCUAUGUGCUGUCGAACUAUCUAUACUACAGUUCCUUGGUUAUGCAUUUUAUUGGGUUUGCCCACAAGUUUCUCCACACUGAUCCUGAAUAUAUUCUCCAGAUGGUAUUGAAGGUUUGUUUUCUAUCCAAAUCUUGGCUGAAUUAAUAUGUCUCAUUAUGGGUAUCUAAACUAUAAAUUUCACAUGCAUUAUCCUUUAAAGUUUCAGUGUUGUACCUAAGAUUGUUGAGAUCUAUUUGAGUUCUUGAUCUUCAACGUUAAAUCUUGACUUGACUUUUGUUUAGUUGUGUGGUGAAUUCAUGUUUGCACCAACUGUGUGGCAUUUGGUUUAUUUAUUGUUAAUAGCUCGGUGCCUUAAGAAUUGAUAAGCUUUGAUAAUGUCCGGUUGGUCGGACGGUAUCUCUUUGCUAUGAUCCUUUCUGGUCAUAACUCAAUUUGUUCAGUAAUUUGCAGUAUUAUUUUUGGGAUGAUUUAUCGAUGGCAAGAGUGCAUGCUGUAUGUGAACCUGAUGAUGUACAAUGACUUGUUUGGUUAGCGUCAAAUCAAUAACGACUGGUUUCGUAAGUCACAAAUUAUAUAACCAAUGUUAACAUAAUUUUGGUUCAUUUCUUAUCAAUCUUUCUUCUCUCCUUUUACAUUUUCCCUUUGUUUUUUUUUGGGGGGUGGGGGAAGGGGAAUCAGUAAACAAGUGUUGUUGCUAUAAUCUCUUUCAUAUCAAAGUUUUGCAAACAAUAGCUUCUUAAUAAGGUGUAUUUUUUUUUCUCUUUCUUUCUUUUGAAGAUUAAUAGAUAUAUGUAUUACAAUAAUAUAUGCAGUAUAGUUGCUGAACCAUGUUAAUGCUCAGUCUUUGUUCUAAUUUUUCAUGUUUCAUUGUUUCUUCUACUGUUUGCUCAUUCGUUUCUUGUUAUCAGGUUCUGAAUAUAUUGACGUCAUCUAGAGAGCUUUUGGACCUUAUAAAGAAUGUAAAUACUGUUUUCCAUGCCGAACAAUCUAGAUCUAGCAAAUCAAAGCUUCAUAGCUUAUACAGAUUUGUUCCUACUAUCCGGGAGCAGUUGCAGGUAUGUUCAUCCAUGCGCAGUUAAGUGCUUUUCUAUUCCAGUUUACUUAGUAAAGAACCAAAUACAAUGUGGCACUAUAUAUUCUAUGUAAAGUUUCUUGUAUGCUGAAGAUUUUGAAGUUGAAAAUUUUAAUGGCAUGUAAUUCUGAGCCAGAUGUUUAAGAUGUCAUGUAUCCUUUGAUGACUUAUCAUUUUCAUGUCUGCUUGAUGUUAUAUAGUUUAACCAUAAUAUUGAUUCUUAAAGGGACUAGGCCAUCAUUUGUCCCAAAUAUAUUGAUCAGCAACAGCGUCUGAUUGUUUAAGCAUCAUAUAUCACUUUAAUGAUUUUUAAAAUUUUUGUUGGUAACUCAAGGACUGGGAGGAUGGUUUAUGUGAGAGUGAUGCAGAUGGAUCUUUCUUGCAUGAAAAUUGGAACAAAGAUUUAAGACUCUUUGAUGAUGGAGAAGAUGGUGGACAACGGCUUCUUCAGGUGCUUGUUUGCUAUGUUAUUUUCUAUAUUAAUUUACAGUAUUAGAGUCUAAUCAAGUGAUCACAAAUUUGUGAUUGCAGUUGUUUAUAUUGCGUGCAGAAGCUGAGCUGCAAUCCUUUUCGGGUGAUAAUCUUGCACAAAACCUUCAGUGUAUAGAUUCUCUGAAAACUCAAAUGAGCUGCCUUUUUGGUGGGCAUGCUAUAAAGCCGAUUGCUUUUUCACUAGAACCAGAGCAGCAACAGCAAUCCCGUGGUGAAAUUUUCAAGCCUAAAAGAGUUGGACACCAUGCAUUGGCUGAUUUCAAGUACAAAGGUGACUGGAUGAAGCGCCCCAUCUCUGAUGAUGAGGUUGCUUGGCUUGCAAAACUGCUUAUUUGGUUGUCGGACCGGGUGAAUGAGAUUCUUGGUCUGAAUCAGCCAAAAAACAAUAGUGAUGUAGGGCCAAAAUGGUCCUAUGUGGAGGUUUCUGGUGAUGUUGUGGGUAAUGUUUAUGGACCGAUGGAGACUAUUAAGACGGCAAUGUAUGCAAUCGGCACCUGGCUUCGCAUGUUAGUUGCAGCAUUUGUCGACCUGAUGAGGAAACAUGGUGUGCGGGUAAAUCUUAGGUUGUUUGCUUCAAAGAAGAUUAUAAUGUUUUUUAUUCUGUUUGCUGUAUUUAGUGUGCUGAAAAAGGCUUUCAGACAUUUUCACAGAGCUUAGAUAAAAGAGUAUAAGAGCAAGAACAUAGGGAGGAAAAAAACAGAAAUAGGUUUUGUUAAUCUUCAAGGUUAACGGUGGAUGAGUUUUGUGCGCAGCCUUCUUGUAAGUAAAGACCGAUAUGUGCAGCAUGAAAAAGUUUAAAUAUUCAGUUCAUAGAUGAGGAUUAGGAAUCAGAAAAGGCCGAAAAUUUUAACUAGGCAGAUGGCAAGUGUACAGUCUAAUGGAUAGGAUCACUUUGGGGGAUUAAAAAAACUACUGGAAAAAAAGUGUACUAAACAAUAUUGAAAAAAGAAAGGUACAAACUUUCCCACCUUUAGUGAGGCAUAAUUAUAUCAUCGAUUAAUCUUAAAACAAAUAUUGACGUAGUGCUAUUAGUUAAUACUUUCAUUACAUUAUUUAUUUUGUAUUAUGUUGCAUGUCAUAAUACGGUGAUUGUUUAAAGGUAGUAUUUACAUUUUGAAUUGGAGUGGGAAUCCUAGGAUUAGGAGUGUGGAGUGGGAGUGGAAGUAGGUUGUUUACUUACACUGUGGAAUGGGAGCAUGAAAUUGAAAUCAAAAUUUAAUUUAUGUGUUUACAUAGUCUUAAAUUGGCAGUAAAUGAUUUUAAAUUAUAAUUUUACCCUCAUUUAGAGAAUUGUAGUUUUUAAUUAUAAAAUUUUAAAAAAUAUUUGAAAAAUAAAAUAUUUAUUUUAUUAUAUUUGUAAAUUAAUAAUAAUUAAUAAUAUUCUUAAUUAUGUAAAUCAUAAUUUUUUAUUAAUUUUAAUUUCAAUUAUGUAAAUAAAAAAUUAUUAUUAAGAGCAACACAAAUGAAACAUUAUUAUUAGUAAUAUAAUACAAAAUUAAUAUUUUCUUGGAAGAAAGUAUUGAUUAUUAUUAAUUACUAAUAUUAAAUAAAUAUGAUACUAUUAUUUUUAAAUAAAUAUAAUAAUAUCAUAUUUUUAAAUAAAAAUAGUAUAUAGUAAUAUUUUUAAUUAAUAUAAUAAUAUUAUUAUUUAAAUAAAUAUGAUAUUUUUUAUUUUAUUUAUCAAAUAUAAUAUUUUAUUAAAUAUUAUUUAUGUUAUUUUAUUAAAUAUAAGGGUAAAAAGAGAAGAGGAUGGAGUUGAUUCCCACUCCCACCUCCCUCAUGGGAGUGGGAAUGGAGUGAGAAUUACAUUCUCCACUCGAAAAAAAGAUGGGUCUCACAGAAUGGGAUUCCCACUUCUCCCUUAAAAUUAGUAAGUAAACACUGGAGUGGGAAGAAUUUAAAAUUAUGGAGUGGGAGAAAUCUAAAAUUUUUACUCCCACUUCAAAAAGUAAACACUAUAUAAAUGACUUGGGGAUUUGGCAACAGUAACAAUAAUAAGUAGUAGUCAUAUAACCCAUUUCUUGGCACCUUCCGCAAUGCCGCAAUGAACCAACUCAAGAUUUUUAAGACUUGAAACAUGGACUUCUUGCUUAGUUAUCAAGAAAUUUCAAAUUUAUUCUUAUUUGAUGUGUAAUGUUAAUUUGCAUUUCUAGCUUAAAUGUUUUCAGGGCGUAGACGCUAAACAUGUGAAAGGCAGUGACAUUUUUCUUUUAUCAGGCUUAAGAUUACGUUAGGAAGCGUUUGUGGCACUAUGCAAGUUAUUGGUAAAAUAUAUAGAGGGCUAACAAGUGGGCAGACCAAUAAAUUUUUUUUUUGGUAAUUAUUCAUUGAUCAUUUGGUAUUUUGAGUUUUUUAAAAAAUACACAAUUUUUUUUUAUAAAAUUAUAUCCGAUCCACUUUAGCGUUAGCUCCGUUAUAACUUUACCGAUAUCAUAAAGUUAAAGUUGUCAUUUCAUUUGAAAAAUGACAUCUGAAAAGCAAAAACCACAUCAUACACAGUUGAAACCCAGAAACUUAUUGUUGCUACUGAGAAUUCCGGCUAGAGGAGGAACAUUCGUGGCGGUGGUUGGGCAUAAUCGGCGAGCAUUAAGUGUCGUUAAUCGAAACAUAAUCUUCGUCAAUCGCCGGGAAAAAUGGCCAACGCAGCUGUUUGGUAUGCCUGAGUGUGAUUACUGCAAAUUAAAAAUUUUGGAGCGGAAGGUGAAAAGAACUUAUUGGUUCGUUGUUUUCAAGAUCGAGGGGAAGGAGAAGCUUUUUUGAGCCAGCUCCAAGCUAUUGAAGACUCCAAUUUGAAGUUAGUAAAAACUUCAAAUGCUUAGCAACAAUCCACGAAAAGCUUCACGGGUUGCCAUAAAUUUGUCAAUAAUUGGACAAAUUGACCCAUUGUCCACAACUAUUAAAAUUAUUUUUUAUUUCUGAAAUAAAAGGUGAAAAAUCUUGUCAAAUUCAACUUAGUGCUUACAUCUUUCACCACAAAAUCUCUUGUGUACACAGAAGCAUUAAACCAGAACCUGUUUAUCAAAAAUGCCUAUUUAAUUCUACAUUCCCUGCUAUUCAAAUUCUACAUUUUCUCUCUUUUGCACCGAUCCCAAUCUCUCUCUCGCCAUCUAUUUGACAAAGUCGUCGUAAAAAAUGGUCAGUGCAGCUAUCUGCAUGUAUGGUGUUGUGGAGCUCAAGGCAAAAAGAACCUAUUGGUUGAUUGUUUUCAAUAUCAAAGAGAAGCAGAAGCAAGCUGUUGCGGAGAAGCUUGCUGAGCAGCUCAAAGCUACGAGGAUUGCAAAGAAGAGGAAAACAAUUUUUUUUUGUUUAGGUGGUAAAAAAGUCAUUUGACCACUAUUUCAUUAAUUUUUUUAACCAAGUUAACGUAAAAGUGGACGAGUGAAAAAAUUAUUAACUUUAGUAUAAUUUUGUUAAAAAAAUAAAAAUUUGUGUAUUUUUAAAAAGAUUUAAAAUAUCAAAUGAUCAGUGGAUAAUUAUCGUUUUUCUUUUAAUUUUUUGUUAGGUACGUUGCUAUUUAACUAUGUACAUGAUUAGCACACCACUUCAUCAAUUAUAUUAUUAAGCACAAUGAAUCUGACUAGAUUUUACACUUAAUUUCUUGCAUUUUUCAAAAUUUAAAAUACUAUUCUCUCACAAAUUCAUCCUAAGUUACAAUAGAUGACUGUUGCAACAAGUACUAGCUAGCAUCAGCGUCAUGAUGAAUUCGUUCAUAAAGUAGGGUUUUAAUAUUGAUGGACCUAUGAUUAAGGCCAUCAUGUCAAAUUCAGAUUGUAAUCGCCACUAUUAAUUGUUUGUACCUUACCCUUCAAACAUGUUCAUUCUUCCUAUAUGUAAAUCCAGCAAUUAAUCUCCUCCCUAGAUGGUGCCCAUCAUCUAAAGAAACAAAAUGCAAGAUCAUUAGGACAGGUAUAGUAUAAUCUGUCGAGAUUUGCCUCGGAUUUUGAUACUUUGCUGCCUUGUCUCUGCAUCCAAUACCAAUAGUAUACUUUCUUUUGAAACUUGAAUUAACACUCCCCCGGCCAUUGAUUAAAUUUUGAGUUCUGCUAUUUGAACUCCGCGAAGACAAAAGAACGAUAAAAAAAUUGAUUAAAUUUUGAGUUAUGCUAUUUGAACUCUGCAAAGACAAAAGAACGAUAAAAAAAUUGGCACGUGAAUCAACUGCACUAACAGCUUUUGUAUAUUACUUUUUGAGUUUAAAAAAUAAAAUAAUAAAAAAAAAAAAGAAAAGUAACAAAAAGAAAAGAAAGAGAUUACUUUUUGAGUUCUGUCUUUAGUCUCUCUCCAUUUCUCACCUCUCAUUUACGUGAGCUCUCUGGGUUCAGGAAGGAAAAACUCAAACGAGUUCCGUCUCUGCAUCUCACCAAUUCCGUCUCUGCAUCUCAGUUAUCACAAGGAAGAAAUUAGAUCUAGAUCUACAAACAGAAGUGAGAGAUGUUUAAAUGGUUAGAAUAUUUAAUUUAAAUUACAAAAAUUCGUAGAUUUUUACUUUUUAUAUAUUUAAAUUGUUAUGAAUUGUUAUGAUUUUUUUUAAUUUAAAUGACUGGAAAUAAUGGAAUAGAUUAUAAUAAUUUCUGAAUGUGUUUUAUAUAUGUUAGGAUUUUUUAAAUUUAAAUGGUUGGAAAUAAUGAAAUAAAUUAUAACAAUUUCUGAAUGUGUUUUAUAUAUGUUAGGAUUUUUCUUAAUUUAAAUGGCUGGAAAUAAUGGAAUAAAUUAUAACAAUUUCUAAAUGUGCUUUAUAUAUGUUAGGAUUUUUUUUAAUUUAAAUUGCUAAAAAUAAUGAAUUAAAUUAUAACAAUUUCCAGAUGUGUUUUAUAUAUUUAAGUUGUUAGGAUUUUAUAAUUUAAAUUGUUGGAGAUAAUGGAAUAAAUUAUAAAAAUUUGUGGAUGUGUUUUAUAUAUUUAAAUUGUUAGGAAUUUUCGUUACUGGACAAAAUGUUAUAUAAGUUUCUUAAUACAAAUGUUAAUUAUUUUGUAGAAAUGGAGUAUUUGGAAAAUGAGCAUGCAUUUGAAAAGUUGCAAGAAACAAGAGCUAACGAUGUAAAUGAAAUUGUGGAACCGAACAAAUGUGAGCCAGCUCUUGGAAUGUUAUUUGAUAAUCAUGAAGAAAUGUUUACAUUUUACAAAGCUUAUGGUAAACAAGAGGGGUUUCCAGUGAAGGUUUGAAGUACUAAGAAGGGGACCGAUGGAAUUGUAAAAUAUGUGACAUUUGCAUGUGGGCAUAGCGGCAAGUCAGAAAGUAAAUCUACUAAUGCAUUGAAGCCGAAACCGAAAGUGAAAAAUGGUUGUGAUGCAAAAAUUGGAGGUUGUCUAAAUGAAGAUGGAAAAUGGGUUAUUCGAACUUUAAAUCUUCAACACAACCAUGGAUUGAGUCCAGACAAAGCUAGGUAUUUCCCAUGCAAUCGCAGAAUUAGUGCAAGCGCUAAAAAGUAAAUUGAAAUGAAUGAUUGUGCAUGAAUUAGAAUUGCCCAAAAUUUCAAUUCUAUUGUUGUUGGAGCUGGUGGGUAUGAAAAUGUGUCAUUCUUAGAAAAAGAUUGUAGAAAUUUUGUUGACAAAACAAGGCGAUUACAGCUUGAGGAAGGAGAUGCUAUGGCGCUUUUAAAGUACUUCAAGAAAAAGCAAGCAGAAUGUAAUGGAUUUUUUUUUAGUAUUGAUUUGGAUGAAGAGGAUCGAUUAAAGAAUGUGUUUUGGGCAGAUUCGCGGAGUAUGGCAGCUUACAAAUAUUUUAGAGAUGUCAUCACAUUUGACACUACAUAUCUGACCAACAAGUAUGACAUGCCAUUUGCGCCCUUUGUUGGAGUUAAUCACCAUGGACAAUCUAUUUUGUUGGGAUGCGAAUUGACUUCACGCGAGGAUACAAAGACAUUUACGUGGUUAUUUGAGGCGUGGCUAUCAUGCAUGUCUGAUUCUCCUCCCCUUGGUAUCAUUACAAAUCAAGACAGGGCAAUGCAAAAGGCAAUUGAAAAUGUUUUUCCGACUACUAGGCAUCGAUGGUGUUUAUGGCACAUAAUGAAGAAGGUGCCUGAGAAGUUAGGGGCUUUUAAAGAACGUGAAUGUAUUAUAUCUUCACUGCUUUCUACUGUUUAUGAUUCACUGAGUUCUGAUGCGUUUGAGGAAGCUUGGCAUUGCAUGAUUACAGAAUAUGAUUUAUGAGAUAAUGAUUGGUUAAAUGGUUUGUACGAGGAGAGGCAUCGUUGGGUUCCAUGCUAUUUAAAAGGCUAUUUUUGAGCAGAAAUGUCAACAACUCAGCGAAGUGAAAGUAUGAAUGCAUUUUUUGAUGGAUUUGUUAACUCAAAAACAAAUCUGAAACAAUUUGUAAAGCAAUAUGAAAAUGCAUUGAGGAGGAAAGUUAAAUUAGAAUGGCAAGUAGAUGCCAAGUGUUUUAGUAAAAGGACAUCAUGCGUAUCAAGAUAUGAGAUGGAGAGGCAAAUUGAAGAAGUGUACACCAUUUCCAAGUUUAAAGAAUUUCAAGAAGAAUUGACUGCUCUGAUGUAUUGUGAUAUCUCGGAUUCUGUGGGAUCAAUAUAUCAAAUAAUUGAAUCAUUUGGGCAAGGUCGGAGAGAUUUCUUUGAGGUUGUUUUUGAAGAAGCUGAGUGUGAAGUUACUUGUAUAUGUUCAAAAUUCCAGUUUAGGGGGAUUCUUUGCAGGCAUGCCCUUGAAGUGCUGAUACGUAACUCAGUUGAAUUACUUCCAGAAAGAUACAUUUUAUCAAAGUGGAGGAAAGAUGUGAGGAGAUGUUACAGUAAGCUGAAAGUUUGUUAUGGUGUGCAGAUUUCACCAUCCAGCAAGAAAGAUAUGAAAAAAAUGUGUAACGCUUUCAGUGAGGUUGCAGACAUAGCCUCUGAUGAUGAAAAUAACUAUAAAACGGUGUUGGAUUAGAUUGAGAAAGCAAUGAAGGAUCUGCCCAAGCAAAUUCGCUGUGAAAGUGUGAGAAAAACUAAUACUGGUAGAGCAAGUUGUAGCAGCAAUAAACAAAUUAACAGUGAGAGUGGAAAGAACUGUUAUUGGCGAAGUAAGUUGUGGCAGCAACAAUGUUCAACUUGCACUAAAUGAUCCAGUAGUGACACGUCGUAAAGGCCGUCCACAUUGCCUAAGGAAAGAAUCUUCGAUUAGUAAGAAAUUCGUUCAAAAGAACAAGUCCGCACAAAAAAAUAAGGUAUAAUUAAAAACAAAGAUCUAUUUUCUAAUUAAUUUGGUCUUAGUUUAAUUGUCUUUAAUAAUCUUGUAGGAUUUACAACAAACUGUCCCAUCAUCUUAUCAUGUGCCUAAUGAAAUCUCCACACAAGGGAACAACAUAGCCACAGUAAAUUUUGUGAAUUUUUUCUUUUACAAUUUUCUUUUAUUUCAAGGAUAUGUAAUUAAGUAUAAGAUUGUGCAUAUGUAGACGCUACAAGAAGGAAGUAUUAUUUACAGAAAUCUCAACUAAUGUGGCACUAUGGGCUAUUAUGAUGAAACAAUUAAAUUAUUUAAAUUUUAGUUUUAAGAUUUUUAUAUGAAUUUUACAUAUAUUUUAUUAUUUGAUUAGGUACCUAUGUACCAAUCUCAAUUCGGUGGAAGCAACAUUUAUCAGCUAUUUCCUUAUAAUUGGCACACAGUAAGUUGUUGUUUACAAGUCGUUAAUGAAUACAUAUAUUUUAAUAUUUCUGUAAUGUAAUAUGAUGUUUAUUUUUAUGUAUUAUAGCAAUCAGUCCCACCGUAUACUUCGCAGUUGCAUUAUUCUUCUCAUUCGAUGACUUAUCAAGGAUCUCAAAGUGAGAAUUUCCAACAGUUAUUACAGCAGCCGCAGCGUAAUGAAGAUAACAAUGAUGAUACUUGACUUGUAUUUUGGCUUUAAAUUGUAGUGAUGAAAUAAUGUUGUGUUAAAUUGAACUUAAAAUUUUUAAAAUUAUGUUAGAUUUGACUUUAAAUCUUUGAAAUUGUAGUGAUAGAAUAAUGUUUUGUGUUAAAUUGAACUUUUAAUUUUUGAAAUUAUGUUAGAUUUGUUUAAUGUUGUCCACUUGCAAUUUGUUUGCUCACGCUGUCAUGAAGUGAUAUUGUAUAGGACCGAUGGUUUUGCAAUCAGUGCAAAUAUUUCUAGCUAUGUGAAAGGUAAUAAUUCUUCCUUUUAAAUUUUGUUUUCAUACUCAUGUCCACGUCUUUAAUUGAACUGUUAUUUUUGCUUUUAUACUUAUGUCCAUGCCUUUAGGUCCUCAACCGAAAUUGGUGUGAAUUAAUUUUAUGUGCAAUUUCUUUAUGACCAAUGAAACUUCAAUAAAUUAUGAUUAUUGAACACAAAAUGAGUAAUUAUAAACAAACUCACUUUCAUACCAGACCAUGAAGGUUUCAGUAGCACUAAAGAUACAUGAGGUUUGGUAUGUGCAAGGAUAUAAUUUUACAAAAUUAUUUUUCUUAUGUUCCAGAAUUCAUAUCUCAUAUGCAUAGGGUUUAGAGGAAAAUAAUUCAUACCCAACAAUAAUUUUAUUUAAAUUAUUUAAAUUUAUACAUAACACGGGAUACAAUUUCAUUUAUACAAAAUACAUAUAGCAACGAUCAUCCCUAAAAUACAACAUACAAUGGAUAAUAUAGGCAGAAUAAUAGAAUUAUUCUGCCUUUAUCAGUUUGCACAACUUUGUCGCAUGUAGGCACUUCAGUUUGCACCCCAUUUUUCGAGUGUUUCCACAAUAAAUUUGGUAAUUUCUAACAUAUUGGAUGUCUCUGGCAAUUUUUCAUGCAUUUUUUAUGUAAUCAUUGUAGGCUAUUUCGACGUCCAACAAAGAUUUAUAAGAUUUAUAAGAAUUCCCUUUGAAUCCAUUUACUUGCAUCUGACAUUCAGGCCAAGAAUUGUAUAUGCCCGGCUUUCGUCCUUUGAAAGCAACAUAACAGCUUUGAGUAGGCAUUUGAAUUCUACAUUGGAAAACUUUAGAUCAAUAUUCUAGACUUUUAUGCUAAGAAUUUCAACUGCUAACGAUAAGAGAGAAUUUCAAAGCCAUGAGGGAAAAAAAGAGUAACAUUUUAACCUUCUGAAAAAAAAAUGGGAGCCUCACAGCAAAGCACAAAGGCCAGCAUAAACCAAGAAACUAAUUUCUGCAACUGUAAGUGAGACAGAUUACAGCAACUGUUCCUGAUGAACAAUGGUAAAUAAAGAGAAAAGCAAAAGGAGUUAAUUGGGGGGGGGGGGGGGAACACUUGUAAAGAAGCUAUCAGAGCUGAAUCAAUUAAAAAUAGCGUAAAUAAUAUACACAAGGCAUAAUAAUAAAAUGUAAUCUAGGGCGACUACAAAAAAAUCCAUUAUCACAAUAACAAAGCUACCCUCCUAAUGCUGCAAUUACAUGUCAAAACUACAAAUUAGGCUAUGUUAUUAUGUAUCUCGAACCCAAAGGGGAGAGUUUUGAAAAUAUAUAUAUAUAGUUGUAUAUUCUUAUCUUGCAUAAAUUUAUGCUUAUACAAUAUCAUAAACACUUUAAUGGAGGAUUAUGAGUGGCUUAGACGAUUAAGACAGCCUUAGGGACCAGGGGGUUCAAUUGCACCAUGCAUUCAAAUUACAGCUGUCUAUUAAACUUCAGUGAUUAUUUUUUAGUCAUGAAAAGAAUUAGACCCAGUGAAAAAAGGUUGAAUAAUGUCCAAAGCCAUACAGCAUUCAUAUCUGUUAUAAGAAAAGUGUCAAGCUUCGCAUAUCAUAUUAAAUAUUUUAUCAAUAUAAGUCUAAUACCAUUACCACAGACAUGCCAUGAAUAAUAAGUUGACUAGCUAAUUACUACUUACAAAAAGAGGUCAUAACUCUCCACACUCAUUCAGCCUCAAAAUGUGUCUCAGACUUACAACAUUCAGGACAGGAGAGCAAAUACUUUCUCAUCCACCUCUCUCCCAUAGAUAUGAUAUCUCUACAUAUCUCCCCAACUACUCCCUCUCUCUUAUCUUGCCAACCUCAGAAGACAUGAAUAUGCUAAAUAAUAGCUUUUGUAAUUUUUCUUAUCAAAAUAAAUUACUGCAGUGCCUCAUCCUAACCAAUUAAGAAAACCGUAAAAGUCUCAAGAUCCACCCUUAUUCCAUAAACACCCCACCCAAGAAAUGCUUACGGAAGAAAUUUUCUUACUCUGUCAAUCUCAAAAUUUCAUCAUCCACAAAAUAAAAUUAAAAAAAAUUAAAAAAAAAAUGCUUACGGAAGAAAUGCUAACACUGUCAAUCUCAAAAUUUCAUCAUCCACAACAUAAAAAUAAAAAAAUAAAAAGAAAUGCUUACGGAUGGGUCACUACAACUGCAGCAGCAAGCAACAACUAGAAGUCUCCAAAGCAGCGACGUCGUAGUAGAUCUGGGUUGGGCGAUCGUGUCUGUUGUAGAUCUAGGCUGGGCGAGAACAAGAAGCGGUCGGCAUCCGGUAACAAGAAGCGGACGUCGUCCGAUAACGAAGCAAGUGGGGCUGGGCGAGAAAAAAAAAAGAAGGGGCUCGGCGAGAACAAGAAGCAGCUAUUGUCCAGGGGGAGUCCGGUAACGAAGCAAAUGGGGCUGGGCGAGAAAAAAAAAAAAAGGGGGCUUGGCGAGAACAAGAAGCGGUUGUCGUCCAGGGGGAGUCCGGUAACGAAGCAAAUGGAGGGGGAGUCUGGUAACGAACGAAGCAAAUGGAGGGGAGUCUGGUAAUGAAGCAAAUGGAGGGGGAGUAAAAUGAGUGGAGGGGGAAAACUAAGGAAAGGAAAAUGAGUGGUUGGGGAGUUACCAGAAAUGACCAUCGUUUUCUCAUUUUUUUUUUUUAAUUUCUUGUGGGUCCACGCAAGAUUAAAAGAAGCAAAAAUCUAACGCGUGAAACGGUAAUUCAAAGUUGCGUUUCUGUCGUCCUUUUGUCUUCAUUGAGUUCGUUUAUCAUUUUCCUUAAAUUUUUGUCUCAAUUGGGUUUUGAUUUUGAUGAGCUUAAAUUAAGAAGACGUGAAACUCUACAUUUUUUCUGGUUAUGUAUAUGUCGAAAAGGUUGUAAUUUGAAUAGAUGGUAUUACUUCUGUUAGGCUUAACAAUGAUCUGAAUCUCAUCAAUGAAUAAGCGACGCUUGUUUAAUUUCUGAUGCAAUCUGAUGAUGGUGAGUUUAAUAAAUGAUGGUAAAAAAUGAUGGAGUAUUUUGAGAUACUACUACCUUCAUAGGUGGUGGUGGAAUGCUUAUGAACGUUAUUUUACAGUUGCAAUGCAUUGAUAAUGAUAACUUGUUCUGCCAACAUUAUGAUGCAAUCGUUAAUUAGAAUGCAUAGCUUCAUAUGCUUGCCAUACAAGCAGUGUAAUAAAGUUAUUAUUUAAGGGCGAGAGCUCAACAUUAUUCCCUCGGCAUGAGACAAAAUUUAUAUGGAAUAACGCUGCGGGUAUUUUUGUAAUUUUACUUGUUUAAAUUGAAAAAAUAAUAAUAUUUUUUUUCAUUUCAUGAGUAAAAGCCCAUUUAAUCCUUUUAUUUUAAGAUUAAUAUCCAUUUAGUCCCCGUAUUUUUAAAAAUACCUCGAAACAUCCAUGCCGUUAAAGUAUUGAUACUCAUACCGUUACUUUUUAUUUCUUUUGACUUACUUUUACAAUAUUACCCUUUUAUGAUAAUUUUUUUGUUUGGACAUUAAUAAAAAUAAAAUAAUUAAAUUACCAAUUUAACCCUUAAAAAAUUAUAUUAAUUUUUAAUUGUCAAAAAUUGUACGCAAACUAUCAAGUAUGCAAAUGGUGCUUGCAAAAAAAUUAAUAUAAUUUUUUUUAGGGUUAAAUUGGUAAUUUAGUUAUACUCUUUCUUAAGUUGACCAAAUUAAAAAAUAAAAACAGAUUUAUUUCUCACAUUAGAAAUAAUCUGUUUUUAUUUUUUAAUUUGGUCAACUUAAGUAAGAGUAUAAACGGUACCGUUUUACAUGGCUGUGUAAUGCUUUGACUCACUGUGACUUGUGUGCUCAUUUGUCUGUAAAUUGCAUUUCCCCAAAUUCUAUAUAAUUUGAUUUUUAUUUUUUAAUUUUUCUCAAUUCCAGUCCCACCAUAUUUUAGAAUUCUAUUCUCUUGUUAAUUAUAUAACUGUGUAAGUGUAGGUAUUUUCUCCACUAAAAUGGGUGAAAUCAAUAUCUAUCUAAUAUUGGUAAGAGUAAAUAUUUGACUGUGCCAUAAUAAAUUUAUUUUAAAGUAAUUUUAGUAAUUUUAUGAUUGUAAUAUACAUAUCAAUAUUUAUAUAAAAAACAAAUUACUGAUACUUGUAUUUUUCCAAAAAAAAAAUUAUAUCUCGGGAUUUAGAAAUGGGAACAUAAAUUUUUAAGAGUUCAUUCAAAAUUGUUUGAAGUAAUAUCUUAAUAGCCUUUUGUCUAGAGCUCCUCCUGAACAGUAGUGCUUUUGUUGGAAUAAUGAUUAGAACUGAGAUAGAGACACUACAUACAAUAAUAUUCUUUGUUACUGUAAUUUAGUAAACAUUUAAAAUUGUCAAUGACUUGCAUUUUAAUUGAAACAUUAACAUUUACCUAUCCGAAAAAUUCGGCAGUAUUUCGUUCGGUCGGCAAAAGAAAAAGGUUGUUAUCGGACCUGUAAUUUGUUAGAAGUGACCGGGAAUUAAAAAUUUCUUCUCGUUAAGAAUUUUUGUGUUCUAUAACAAUUUUAUUUUAGAGGGGUCCUAAAUAAUGGCACCAAUUAAAAAGUAUAAAGAGUGGGUUUCCAAUAAAUAUUGAGAGCAUCUAACCAUGACUUCUUUUCCAAUUACACUUUAUAUAUAUAUAUAUAUAUAUGACUUUUUUUUUUUUUAAGGUUUACAAAUCUAGUCUACUGAUAGGUUUGCUUCAUUGUUGGUCCAGCGAUUAAUUUCAACGUUACUUGUACACUAAAAGCUUUAGUUUUCUUUCUCUCUUUUCUUCUUUUGUAGUCUCAUCUAUACAAUUGAUUUUGUACGAACUUAAAAUAUUAAUAUUUUUUAUUUAUUUUUAUUUUUGAAAAACUAAUAUUUCUGAGUUUUGUGAAAAGAAAGAUAUAAAUAUCAAGACCGUAAAAAAGAUUUAAGGGGGAGAAAAUUAUUAAAAUUUGAAGGAUUUACAAAUAAAAAGAAUGUUUGAUUAAAAAAAGAAGAAGAUAUUUUUGGUAUUAAGUUAAAAAUAAAAUUAAAAAAUAAGAAAGAAAAUUUUGGAGGGGUGCAAAUAUUCCUAACUCUUAUAGAAAUGAAUUGGCCCCUAGCCCUACCAUUUAUUAGGGCUACACAAACACUAGUCUUUAGCCCGAAAGAUAAGUCCUUUGUUCAUAAAGAUACAAUAAAUGCUCUCUCUUUGGUACCAGGGUAUUACAUUUUAAAUAGAUUUUUUAUUAUUAUUAAUAAGUAGAGGUUUUUUAAAGUUAUGUUACGAAGAAGAAUGGAAAAAAUAUAUGAAAUAAAAUAAGAUCUAAAUAAUUUAAAGUUUUUAAAGUGCUCAAAAUUCUAUCUUUUAUCAGUAGAGGUAAAAGAGCUUUUUUAAUCCCAAAUUUUCAACUCAAGUUACAACUAAACAACACAAAAAUAAAAAUUAAGUAUUAAAAAAGUUAGAAUUUUUUUUGGCCAUAAAAAGAAGCCAUACUAAAUAGUCAUUUAUAAUGAUCAGUCACCACAAAAUAAAUUAAAAAUAAAUAUAAGUAAGUUAUGACUUUUUAAUCUGAUUGGUAUAAAUUAUGGAUCCUGCAAAAAAAAAACACAAAAACAGAUUACUCCCAUGAAAUUAUUAAAAAAAAAAAAGCCCAAGGAAGAAAAAUGAUAUAUUUACUGAAAGUGACAUAAAAUUUAGUAUAAAAGUCACAACAACAGACAAAAUUUAUGUCUUGUAGUGAAUUUUUUUUUUUGUUUUAUAAUUAAUUUUCUUUUAAAAAAUCUUGUAGGAAUGGUAUAAUAUUUCUUUUUCUGUGGCAAAGGAAACACAAUGCAGCCAAUAGCAAUGAACCUUAGUACAAUUGCCAAACUGCAAGUCUCAGAGCUUGCAGGGAGGCAAAGAAAGAAAGAAAGAGACUAGUUUUGGCUAUAUAUUGCUCAAAAGAAUCAAACUCAUCACAUAUUCACAUGAAUGAUUAAGAAACGCGGCAACUAAAUAAAAAAUGGGGCAUGAGAAUUUAUUCGAUUUGGUCAUUUAGUCUUAACUUGACAUUCACGCUAAUUUUAACUGGUAGUUGGAGGCUUGGGGGUUCCAUUUAAUUUGCUUCGGCAUUUCCCUCAAGAAGGGUAGACGCAUAGAUUCUGCUGACGCUUCAAUGCCCGUAGCCACAUAAACUCUCUAUUUAUUAAGGAACAGGACCCUCUCUUAAAUUUCAAUUGGGUGUCUCACUAAUCAAUUUUCUCCCUCACUCUCACUCACUCAAAUCACUUUUGCUUUUUCCCUGUGUGCUUUGCAUUUUCCCUCGAUAUGGCACCCACCAAGAACAAUAAUAAUAAUAAUAAUAAUAAUGAUGCGUCUGGUAAGAAUGUGGUGAACAGAGGAGCUUGGACUGCUGAGGAAGAUAGAAAGCUGACCGAGUAUAUCGAAAUUCACGGUGCAAAAAGAUGGAAAAAUGUUGCUACUGAAUCAGGUUCGUUACAUUUACAUUUGCAGUGGCAUUUCCAGCCUUAAUUUGCUUGGAGCUGAGAAAGAAUCAAUAAUUUUUUGUAACGGGGCUGGCUGGUUUCAUUUGUCUAUGAAUUAUGCAGGCUUGAAUCGAUGUGGGAAGAGUUGCAGAUUGAGAUGGUUGAAUUAUUUGAGACCGAAUAUCAAACGAGGCAACAUUUCUGACGACGAAGAGGACUUGAUCCUCAGGCUCCAUAAAUUACUGGGCAACAGGUACCGUCCUUUUUUUUUUUUAAGAUUAAUAUUAAGCAAGCAGAGGGUACGGUGAUUGAUUGACGUUGUUUCUGCAAACAGAUGGUCUUUGAUUGCGGGGAGACUUCCAGGACGAACAGAUAAUGAAAUUAAGAACUACUGGAAUUCUCAUUUGAGCAAGAAAAUAAAUCACAAGCAUAAAACACCGCAGCAGCCUCAGCAGCCUGCAACUACACGACUAAAAGUUCCUGAAAACACCUCGGAGAUUGCUCCCGUAAAUGAAGAGGGUGGCAGGCAAAUUGCAAACUCGGAAGUCAAUCUUGAUUUCGAUUUUUCUACUGAGGGGCUCUGUGGUUUGGACUGGGUAAAUAAAUUUCUUCAACUGGAUGAUGAUCAUCUUUGGCUCACUGAUCAACAGAGAUGAGCACUUUGUCCAUAAAUGUUUUCUCCUUUAAAGAGAUCACUUUUAUGUAUUGCUCAAUAAUUUUAGGGAUCCUCUUAUGGGUCCGCACACUAUUCAUGUGAGAGACUCACUUACUAUUCAUGUGAAAGGAUUGUAAGUUACAUAAACUUAACAUUAGCCUAAUUUUAGACACCCUGUUGCUGCCUGUUCUAUUUAUUAGUGCACAGUCAGCCCGAGUCAGAGAUAUUUUAAUUUUUUGAACAAAAAUAUUGGAGUUUGUUUGAACAAUAACCCGAACAAUGAAUGACUAGAGAGAAAAAAAAGGACCACAUAAAAAUUUUGAAAAAAAAAAAAAACUAAACUAAGUACUUUGUAGCAGAAAAGGUAGAAAGAAAUAUAAGAAAAUGUGAGCUUCAUUGCCGCUUCAAAGUUCAAACAACUUCUUAGUGUCAGCCUUUCUCCGUUCGCGAGCGUUAAUGUUACCGACUGAGUACUGGCAAAUUGACGUAAAUAUUUUUACGACAAGUCCGUUCCACAACAACGUAGAUUCUUUAUUUUAUUUAACGCUCCAAAAAAAAUCUUCAAAAGUUCUACUGAAAAAAUAACCACACAAUUACAAAAAUUUUGAUAAGAAUUUGUGAUAUUAAAUAAGUAUUUAUGAUAAUUAGAUAAGUCGUAUCAAAUAAAUAUUUAACGCAUGUUUGAUGUUGGGAUAAAUAAAGUCGAUCGUGUGCAGGAAUUAGUGUGUAGCCGGUUUUAGUUCUCAUACCUCUUUCUCUGAACCAAAACAUCAUAUAUAGCCGUAGAAUCCAUAACAGCAGAUUGUGCCUUAACAUCUCUCUAAUUGCUACUACUCACAUGUAAAGUCUAAGAAUCAACACAUACAAAGGUAUCUUGUUACGUCCCCUACACAAGUGUACAGUAAAAAUACGUUUAAAAAAAUCACCUGCAUUGAUUGUUAUGUGAAAAUACAAAGGCUGUGCCGUUGUGAUCCAUAAACUGAAAAGAAAACACCAAGAUUGUAAUCGUCAAUGAAUGGGACAACAAUAUUAUGCAGGAAAAAAAUGCAUGUACUGUAUGUCUAUAUAUUUAAUAGACUUGUCCAUAAUACAUGAUGCCAUUUAAUAGAAAAUGACUAAAUUUUUUCUUGUUAACACAACACGGGGUUUAAUGGAAGUACAAUGGCAAUUAGAGACAAAGGUAAAGUCAAUUAUAGUAAUCCCCAAUUUCAUCAUGGAACAAAGGCACAACUGAAACUGUACAUUUAACAACAAAUGAAUUUGUAAAAAAAUACUAUAUAAUGUUCAAGUGCAGUGAUUGCCAGAUUUCUCAGUAUCAAGAUGCGGGGUCAAUACGAAUGGUGACCAAAAACUACUGGGAAACAAAUCAUGAACAAGCUGACCAGUUGGAUCAUCUCCCAUUUAAGAAAUAAUCAAUGCAUUAAAAGAAGACUCACAUAAUUGAAAACGCAAUCUAUUUAUUACAUUGUACCUGGGUCAUGAAUGCAUAUUCCAGCAUCACCAUUUUUUUCAUAGCUCUGAUCCUGCCGUCGGUCCCAAGCACAUGGAUGCUAAAGCACCAAACCAUCACUGAGGCGACAAAUUUUGCGGUUUCCCACAACAAUCACAAUUACUAUGCUUUUGAUUAAUUUUCAUUCAUUUCAGCUUUUCAAUGGUACCUAUAUAAAGUACUGUGUAAUAAUAUCCACUCUUAAGUAAACCAACAAGAUUUAAUGUGAUUGGGGAUCCUGAAUCUGGUUCAAUCUAUUAAACCAAAUUGAGUGCAGCACCAUGUGAAACAAAUCAUAUUUGAUUGGCACAGGGUGCCAAACAAAAUGCUUUUGAACCAUCUUUACAUUAACUUGCAUCUCAAGAUAUUUUCUCAGCGGGAUUGCCAGGAGAAUCUCCUUUAGUUUGGGAAUAUCCUUCUCCGGUAUCACCACAGAGAAUGCACUCCAAUCCAAUACUUCGCCGAAAGGUAGAACAAAAUUAUCUGCAAUAAUGACUGGAACACAUUCAUAAUAUAUGGCCUCUACAAUCCGAGGACUGUUAACUUCAUACCCCAUUGGACAUAUACAAUACCUACUUGAUUUCAUGUGUUGAAUAUAUGACAUCUCUUUAGACACAAGAUGAGGCAGACGACGAUAAAUUUUCAUGUCCUCAUCAUCUUUCCAAUACUUGAGAAGUAUAGGUCGGACCCUGCCAUGCAUAUAUCCAGCAAAGAAGGCAAGGAUUGGACGCUGAGAUACUCUAUUUCCACCACCUAUAUGCCUUUGAGGUUUCUUGGGAAACUUUAUCGUGGUUUCCGGCAGGGAAACAUCUUUACCAGCCACGAAAAUGCCUUCGGAUAGGUCAGCAUUGCAUAGAACUUUUAUGGCAUUUUCCUUAAGUUCUGUGUGUGCAACCGUCGUGUAAGGGCCCUGCAAAUGUUAAAUUAGAACAGAGAAAAAUUAGAAAGUGAAUGAACUCAAACUGACCAGAAUAAAUUUAUAUCCUCAGAUGUUCCACAAUAUUGCUGAUAUGCUCACUUGAAGCUACUCAGGAGUUGAUGAUUGCUACUAUUGGCAUGUCAAAUCAAAAUUUGAUAUGAAAAAGAAGAAUUUGGCCAAGUAGUUUUAUUAAUGCCAAUGGUUGUUCUCUGAAAAAACAAAUGCUAUUAUCUCUAAAAAGUAAUGCGUUAAAUGUGCUUGUGUCCAACUGCAUGUGUGUGGAUGUGCCAGAAAGACCUUGAAGGAAUUUCAAUAAAGAAGUUACUAAUACAAUUCGGCUCAGAUUCCACAAAUUCUUCAAAUCAAACCCAAAUAUAAUUUAUAUAUGACACUGUAAUAAUGUUGAAGGCCUUGAUAGAGAAUGGGAAUCAUCUCAUAGCACAAACUUGUCUUUCCAAAAACUUAAUUCAAAUGCAGAAACUGAAAGCUUUUUUCAUUGCUAUCACUUAAAAUCAGAUAAAACAGUGUAUUGGAAGGAAUAUAACAAGCACAUACAGUAUCAAAUGAAAAUGAAUGUCUACUGAAAUAGAUGGCUCUUGGCUCUCGCAGUCUUAACCAAAUGAAGGUAUUUGAUCAAAUCAAGAAAAUGAUGCCUGCUAUUAGUUUUUUGAUUGAGAACCAAUAAAGAGAAAAGAAAGGAGAGAAAGAUAUAGAGGAAAUUAAGAGACAAUAUCAUGAUCAUUUCCCAAUAAUUAGUAAUUAUCAAAGUCUUCGUCCAAGUUCUACUCAAAACUGAAAAGCCUUAUUGAUAGUGGCCUAGGUCCUAUACAGAAGAGAACACCAGAAUUCUUCUUAUAAUAAGAAACAUACAUAAUCAUAUGCAACAUAAGAAAACUACUUUUGGAAAAUAAGAAAAUUACUUUUGGAAAAAUAAACAACAAAACCUCAUGCAGCUUAAAAAGGAAAAACAAGAAUAACUCCUAAAUAAGCCUAACUCGUCCUACAUCAUUCUGGAAGUGGCUGCAUUUUGGUUUCAAUGUUUCAUUGGGGAUGAUAUGCUUAUCUCAUUUUAAUGACAUGCAAAUUUCAACUAGACAUACUGUGCUUGUUUCAAUAUUUCAGCCAGUUUUCAACCACGGAUGUAUAUUUAGUGACAGAAAUCAGAAGUUCUCUUGUAACUAAGCAUUAAUCAAAUUAAUUUGGCUGAUUCAAAUAUCUAUGCAGAAAGGAGAACAGAAUAAUUUACCCAAUCAUGGCAAGCAACAAAAAAAUGAUCCGACCCAUGCGUGCGAUUCCAAAAGGGAUACUUUGCGGCAAUCAUGUUCACAUAGUCCCUCAAAAAAUUUGUCAACGGUUUCAUACUAUGUGAGUUAGGCACAUAAAGAGCCAAUUGUAAUUGGCGUACACUGUAUGGAAGAUAAAAUAAGUGAGCCUUUUCUGGGUCUUCUGUAACAAAGUGCUUGUUUCCUCUCAUUAACUUCAUAAACCAUCCUUCAGAAGCGUAAAUACCUCUAAGAUAAGGAUGAUGAAAAAUAGGUCUCUUUCCAUUACUGUAAAUGUAUACCCUAAGCGUCAUUUCCAUCAACUCAUAGCUCCUGCAAAUCAAGGCAAAAAUAUGGUUUUAGAUAUUAAGAUUUAUUCAAGUUAAGGAAAACAGCGGCACCAGAAUGAUUUAGUGAUAAACAUAUGAACUGAAUGCCCAGUGAAUUUGAUUAAGAAAAUUUACAAGAGAACUCUCCAUCUGAAGAAGAAAAGAAGGCAUUGAGAAACUUUGUAAGAAGUAACAACAAUUAAGCCUCUGUGGCAAACAAACAGUACUGAUCAGGAAUUAUUUUAUUUCUAAAUGGAGCAUAUGCUGGAAAACUAUUUGCAAUGCAGGUUCAUCCAAUCCUUAGUAAUCAAGAUCUAUCUCUCUGCCUAGUGUCUUUUGGAGUCUUAGUCAUCAUUAUGAUCCCACCUACGAACCAUUACAUCAAUAUGUCUUCUUUGCAGAUGCCCAACCAAUUUAUGCUGUUGAAACAAAACUUCAAUCAGGGUGCUGUUCAUUCUGAUCCCACCUACAAAACAUUACUGAUUUAGGCUAGCUCCAACCUGCUAAAUAUCGGAAACCACUUAUUGGUAAAUAGGUGAAUAUUCAAUAAUCUUAAAAGAUCUUGAAUGGUAACACAAUUCCUAGAGAAUGUUGUUUUCCUUUAUGAUUAAGUUUCUCUGAAAAUACCCAUCUCAAUCCACAAUAGUUGUUCCAGACGAUUGCAUAAAUAUAUGAUGGCAACAUGAAAUUUAAGCCGAGAUGCCACAGGAACCCCCCUCUGAUAUUUUAUAACAAAUAAAAAAGUCUGCCUUCUUUCUGAUAAUUCCUCUGUCAUGGCCAAAGGAAAUUUCUGUCCUCAAUUACCAAUCCUGCAUCUUCUUCACUUUUAAUACAUUUUUGAGUUUCUCAUGAAAAAAAAAAAUUACCAACCCUGCAUCCUAACACCGUAAAAUUAUAGGGCAUAAUACUCUCAUUUGAAACUAUGAUAACUGUUAAACGCAAGCUCGAUAGCAAAAUGUAUCUUUAUUUCUAAUCCAGUCAUGAAUAUUUAGAUCAGAAGGCAUAGCAUUCCAUAGAGCAGAAACUACUGUAAACAAAAAAAAACAUAAUGAAUUAAAAAAAAAAGGCUGAUCUAAUUAAUAAAUUAUACCUUUUGAAGACAGAAAUAUUCCGAAAUAGAGGAGCAUACAGUUCAGCAUCUUCAGUAAUGAUUGGAGCAUGGUCAAUCUCCUUUUUAGCAAACAAAAGUGCUUCAAUAGGUGUCAACGUCCAAAUGUAUCUCUGAAUUUUAGGUGACAUAGCAUGGAUAUUACUGGUCAUAGCUCUGGUUUAUCAUAAUAAACUAGAAAACAAAAAGAAACUGAAAAAAGUUUUACCUGUAAAGACAAGGUUGGUGAUCUAGGAGAAGGAGGAGGAGGCGUGGGUAUGACCUUUGACUUAUCAUCUGUCUUCCAUCUUUUACCGUUAGAAUCUCCUGCUCUUCCCUCUACAGGAACUGAUUGCAUCACUUCAAUUGAAGAAUUCUGUGAAAUGAUGGAAUUAGCUGGAAGGUGCUGAAUUCUGUAAAUCCUUGGCUCCUGAAGUGUCUCACUAAGCUGACUAGGCUGCAUAGAACCGUUCGAGGAAUUAUAUGAAGAAACUGUUAAAGGAUGGGAGAGAAACCACAAGUGAAGAAGAGCAGCCGCAACUGUUGUCAUGGCCCCAGCAAAAAUCAAUUUUCUAGAAUUCAUUCUGAGCCGCGCACACCACAGGAAUAGUUCUUUCAUCAGGAAUAACGCUGCAUGUCACGAAAUAUUAUCACUUCUCUGGAGUAAAAGGUUUCAACCUCACCAAUCAUACAAACAGGGAUGUUAGGAUGCAAAGAGAAGUGCCAAUCGUCAUGUCAUUCCAAUGAUGUAAUAGGAAUCAAAGAUCCUAAAGCCUAAGAAAACCAAGCCAAAAACACAACUUUUUGGCCUGAAACUUAACUCACUGAAAAGCUUCAAGUCCACAAACAGGAAUAGGCAGCUUUAGAUUGAAGGCUUCAGGCCAAAAAUUAAUACAUAGUUAAAUAAUCUGUGAUAUUCAAAUAAACAGAUAGAAACAGCAAGAGUCUUCAAUUAUAUUAUUAGAAAACAGUAAAUCCUCUUCAGGUCUGUGCCAGAACAAGAGAGACAUACUAGCCUGACAUGAAAGAAAAAAGUUUAAUUUAAAGCAGAUAAGCAUGGACAACCCACAUAUUUAUCACAGAAAGAAAAGGAAAGGGAAAAUGUUCAAAAGCAAGAAAGAUAGCCUACUAGCUUUAUUCAUUUCAUGCUAAACAAUUCAAGUUUACAAUCUGAAACCAUAUGCACUAAUUUUUUACUAGUAGGGAAUGCUUACAUAUAUGAAUUCCUAGACCUGUGUUUCUUCUGCAUAUGAAGCAAUUCACGCACUGGAAAUUAUCUGAAUGUUAAACGACCACACAUCAAACAAUCUGAGCCUCAACACAAGAAAAAGAGAUGAUGUGGCACCACUGAGAUGCUAAAGAUCGAGUUUGCCUCAACUAUUACCACCAACAUCCAACCAUAAAGCUGCUCGUGCCAUUUUUAACUCUACCACUUGGACUCCUUGAAAAUUUUUAAGUGAUAAGAAGUAGAAAGUUUGUUACACCGAUCAUGACAUUCACAAUAUCAAGAGGCAUGUGUUGCGGUCCGUGCAAUAAUCAGCUGUCCAUCAUCCUACCAAUCCAGAUACAUAAGCCUAGAAAUAUAAAGAGGCUGGCAUUAAUAGUUUAAUACUAAUGAAUUUCUCAUAAACUGCCAUUUAUUUGAUCCAAAUGUAAUAAAACAAAAUAAAAAUACACUUUUAGCUCCACACUGGCUUUAGCUUACUUCACAAAAUCUUUUGUAGAUUGUGUGAGGAACCACGUUCAAAAGAUAGGUAUCACAUUUCGGUAUGCAGCAUAUUUUGAAGUGCAGAUUUUUGAUAGCAUCCAUCAAUUCUUAGGAUUUUAAUGAAUAAUUAAAACACAAUUACCUAUUUUGGCGGCACCUAUAUUGAGUUAAUAAUAAACUUCCAGAAUAAAAAUCGUUGGAUUAAAUUCCAAGUGUUAUUUUGGAGCUAAAAUUUGAGCUUCUAUCAGAACUGUGGACCUCAAGGAACGCAGCAUGAAAUGUAAAUCACCACAUUAUCAAGUAAAUAAAUAAAUAAAAACAAUUAAACUUCAAAGAAAAUUAGAAUCAACAUUUUACGCAAAAUAUAGUGAUCAAAAUAACUGUACAUGAAUGAGUAAAUACUGGUGAAAGAAGAGCUGACGAAUUAAGUUGAAAGUUGGAUCGUACCUUGAUUGAGCACGAGAUGAGGUUGCAGGAAUUAAUGGGAAAAAAAUAUUUACGAAUAAGAAUAAUCAAAGAGACGAGACUGAAGCUAAUUAUAGAUAAUAGAUCUGAAGUUCUGAACAAGGGAGCUUAACAAGUUGAAAUCCGAGUGAGGGAAUAACAAAAUAAAAAAUAGAAAGAAAAGAUGGGGCAAGCCAAGGAGACAGCAUUCGGUAACGGCUCCGGUAAGUAAUUCAAGUAUGGAUGAUGUUUUUUGUAUUCUUUUUAAUUCUUUACCUUUUUUUAUUUUGAUAAUAAUAAUAAUUUUAUUUAUUUAUUAUAUUUGCUCGUUGACAAUUUUAAUAUAAAUAUAUAAAAAUAAAUAAUCAACACUAGCUGAAUUGUUGCAUGUGAAAAUUUGAAGCCACCCUGGGUAAAAGUCAUAUAGAGAUCAUUUUAGUCGGUACUUUAUUUUUUGAGUAAUGAUACAGUCAUAAAUUCUUGUAUAAAUUUAUUUUGUACAAACUGAUAUGGCAUUAAUUCAUUGAUUGGAUGAAAAUAUAAAAUAAUAAAAAUAAAUUAUGUGGGCCAAGUGAUAUUUAAUUCAACUAAUCUUAUCAUGCCACAUCAGUUUGUACAAAAUAAAUUUGUACAAGAGUUUGUGGCUGUAUUAUUACUCUUAUUUUUUAUAGUCUGAUACGAGCGAGAAUUAAUAUAAAUUAUGGUACAAAUUUAAAAAUACCUCCCAUAAUUAAAGUCCACUUAAAAACACCUCGUCUUUUAGAUUAAAAAAAAAAAAAAGUCAUAUUGCGCUGUCGCCGUGUGGUUUGGAAUGCCAAUGUGAAAACGUCACAUGUAUUAUGUAAAAUAACAAUGGUCACAUCCGCAUUUUAUGAAAUUAUUAAAGCUGUCCUGUGUGUUUAGCAUUGUUCAAGAUCCUCCGUUCUAGUGAGUUUUCUAAAGGACAAGGAUAUAUAUAAACAAUUAGCUACAAUAUGGCAAAUGCCGGUCUCCAAUCUGUAUGCGUUGUUACUUAAUCGUAAAUUUGAAAAAUCAAUUCUCUAGAAGUUACCCAUUCAACCAUUUAUUAAACAAAAAGUUCGUUAAUCUUUUUGAAAAUAAUGGAAGCUCUGAAAAAACUACAAGUUGUUUUUAUCUACAAUUAAGAUAGAAAAAAAAAAUAAGGUGGAUUGUCGAAGUAGCAGAGACACGAAACAGCAGUCCAUUUUGGGCAUGGAAAGGGAGAUCUGUGACGGUGAAUUUUGAUUGAAGAACAAGGGUAACAACACUACAGAGAGAGAGAGAGAACUGUGAGGUUAGAUCGGGAUAAAAAGCUAUGAUUUUAAAAGAGACAAGGCAAAUUGCUUGAAUUUUGUUUUAUAAUUAUUUUAUAAUUUAAUUGUCAAUUUAUUGAGAAUGUGUUAAACAUGUUCUUAGUUUAACCAUUAAAAUGAAUUUAAAUUAUUUGUUUUAUAAUUCAUAUUUUUUGAAUUUAGCCCACCAAACAUGUAUUACAUCUAGACUUGAACUAUCGGCAUUUUUUAAAAAAAUUUAUUAAAACCCCUAUUAUUAUUUAUAUUUUUACCCACAACUAAAAUUACCUGAAAAAUAUAUGUAUUUGAUAAAACUUUCUCGUUAACUUGAUUUCAACAAAAACUUUUUGCAACCAUAUGCAGUUAUAUGUUCAAAAUUUCAAUUAAAAUCUAUUUACGAUAUGGAAAACAAUACAACUUGAAACUUUUUCGAAUCCCGCAAUGAGUUUUAUGGCCAAGAAGAUUUAAUAAAGUAAUUCUUGUGCAGUUGCAGUAACUAUUGAGCUGACAAACUCAAUAAUUACUACGAGUAAUUAUAUGAGUUCUACCCCAAACCAAAAUUCUUUUAUAAAGCAGGAACUAAUUUAUUUACUAAUCCUUCACGAAUCAACAAGCAGAACGUCAACCUCUUUAAAUAAACUCAAUAGCUAUUUUAAUCAAAACAAACCACUGUCAAAUUUCUUUGCUUGCUUUUUUGAGCAAACCAACAAACCCCCACCAAUGUCCUUAAAAUUUCGGCAAACCAGCAACUCGUGAAAUAUUGCAAAUCAACAAACCCAGGCAGAUACCAAUUCAAAAGAAAUCUAUACAGCCAUUACUCGGGCUUAUAAAUAACUUUUUUUUUUCUUUUUUACUAUUUAGGGUUACUUUGGGAAUAAGUGGAAUGUUACAAAAUUGUGUAAACUUUUUUUAUUAAUGUUUUAAUGGGGUAUGUUAGGGAAAAGGGGUUUUAAAAGCUUUUUUGAGGGGUCCUAAUACUUGCAUUCUUACAUUUAGACUCCCAAAAUGGAAUAAAAACAAGAACCUUAGGCCUCGUUUGGUAUGCUAGAUUGGAUUGGACCGAAUUAGAUAAGAUAUGAUUGGAUUAGAUAAUACUGGAUUAUAUAUAAUAUUAUAUUAUAUUUGGUGCAAUAUUGGAUUGGACUAUUAAUAACAUAUCUUGUGUUUGGUAGGCCAUGAGAUUUGUUAGUAACUAAUAAUAUGUCUUAUAUAUUAAUUUAUCAAAAUUAUUUUAGAUUUAUUUUAAAAUGACAUGGAAUUUAAUCUAACUUAAAUAAAUAAUUAUUGGUAAAUUUAUAAAAAAAAAUGCAAAAUCUUCCCUUAUUUUUUUAUAUUUUACAAAAUAAUAUCAUUAUAAACUUAACAAGAAUAUUAUCAACAAAUAUAAUAAGAAUACCAGUCCAUAAACGAAAAAAAAAAAAACCAAAUGUCACUAGUUGUAUAUAAGAAAAUAUUACAUAUCAUUAAUAUCAAAAGAGUGUCAUGACAUAUAUACUAUCAUUGGAUGAUGACAUACCAAAAAAACAAAAGUCAUAAUCCAAAUGAAUUUACAAAACAAAGAGUGCCAGCAAAAGUCAUCACCCAACUACCCAAGUGCCAGGAGGUAAUCCCACAGCCCCCCUCGUUACAAGAUUUUGACACUGUGUUGGAUUAAAUGGUGGGCUCCACCAAUUUUGUACUACAAUUAAUUUUGGGUGCCAAACAUUGUAUUAGGAUAACUUUAGAAUGAAAUUAUCCAAUCCCAUCUUUUUGUACUUCAACCAAACGAGGCCUUAAUGAAUAAUGGGGUUAACCAAAAAGUCCGGACAAGCUCCGCCCAUAUGAAUUAGACUUAGAUAUGGGUUGAGAAAUAUGAAGCCUGCAUAGAUAAGACUUGGAUUAUAAUCUUUUAAUUUAUAAAUAUAAAAAUAUAUUAAAUUAAAAAUCAAAAUAUUAGAUUAAUUUUUUUGUAUUAAUAUUUUUUAAUUUAUUAUUUUGUGUUACUAAUAUCAAACCAGGGCUUUUUAUCAUAUAAAUAAAAAAUAUAUCAAAUAAAAAACUCAAAAUAUUAUAUUAAUAUAUUUUUUUAAUAUUAGUAUUUGUGAUUUAUUAUGUUGUAUUAUUAAUAUUUUGUGUAUUAAAUUGUUAUUCUAUUAUGUAUUAAAUAAUUAUCUUUAAUUUAAUUUUUUUACUUUAUUAAAAAUUUAUUUCAAAAUGAGUAAUGAUAUAAUCACAAAUUUUUGUACAAACUGAUGUGGCAUGAUAAAAUUAGUUGAAUUAAAUAUCUCUUAACCCACAUGAUUUAUUUUUAUUAUUUUAUAUUUUCAUUCAACUAAUGAAUUAAUGUCACAUCAGUUUGUACAAAAUAAAUUUAUAUAAGAAUAUGUGACAGUAUCAUCACUCUUUCAAAAUUAAUGAAGGUCGAGACUCAACACUCUUGAUUUGGUCUGUUUAAAUUUAAAUGGACUUUUAAAAGGUCAACACUUAUUCUCAGUAACUUGAGCCUGGACCUAAGUUUAGAUUUGAAAAAACCCGAGACCUUAAUUUACGGACCCUAACCCUCAAGAUAGUACAUUUUUUUAGUCGCGCUCUAGCCGAAGUAAAACUUAAUGCAUGUGGGGGAGAUCAUGUUCAGUGGCUACAAUUGUGCGGUGGUUAAGGAAGGAAGGAAGAAAAAUAAAAAACUUCUCGAACGGAUCCAAUUAAACAGAUGUAAAGUAGAAUAUUAAUAAAACAAUGUAUUAUUUUUAUUUCAUCUAAGCUCGAAGUUAGGCAUGUCGGCAACGACUUCAGAAAUCUAAUAGCAUAUUUUGACCAAUCUUAUUUUACCGAUCUUAAAUUUUAAAUUAAUAUUAUUUAUUUAUUAUAAUUAUUUUUUAAUAAAAUAUAAUUGAAAUUAAUUUUUUUUUCUUAAAUUCUUAAUAUAUUAACUUCUCAUUUCUCACGUCGCUCUAGUUUUUUAUUUGAUUCACAAUUUAAAUUAAAUAUUAACUAAUAAUUUAUUUCUAAAUUAAAAUUAAGUAAAAUUAUAUAUUAUCACACGAAAACAAAACUAAUACCAUCAAUAACAAUGAAAUAUAUCACUUGUUCAUAAAGUUUAAUAAAACUCAAUAUUAAAACUCACCAUAUAUUAGUGGAGAUGGUAGAUUCGGAUAGAUAUGAAAAUAGAUGGUGGUGAUUUGAUGAUGAUAGUGAAGAUACCAUAAAUAAAGUAGUGGGAGUAAUAGUUAUGAUAGAUAGAAUAAAAUAAAAUAAAAUAUUUUUAAUUUUAAUAAAAAUAAUAUAAAAAAUAAUUAAAUACAUUUAAAAGUAGGAUAUUAAUAAAAUAAUUUGAGGGACAAAAUAUCACUACUCAAAAUCUAAACAAUGCCUUUGUUAGAGGCCGCUUUGUAAGAUCUAAGAUGCUCCAGCUUUGAACAACGAAAACGAAAACGAAAACUAGCAUUGACGACUGAUAUGAGCCGAACACGUCCACAUUUGUCAUGUUUACCAAUAGUAUAAUGCCACGUCCUACAAAUGCCACAUGUAAUCUUCACCCAAUAUCACACGGCAAAUACAAUAUACAUAAACCAGAACCCAGAAUUUAAACUCGAAUUGACUAGAAGAGUCAUUCUAAAAGAAUACCAGUCCAGUGAAACCCUCUGAGAAAUCAUCAUUUAUUAGGGUCAUUUCAGUCACUGAGAUUAGAUCUUCUUUAUUCAAUCUUUCUCCACUUCAUAAACCACAGGUAAGAAAACGUAUAACGAAAAGAAGAAUUAACGUUUAUGAAAAUCAAUGUUUUUGAUCUGAUCAAAUAAAUGAAUACAUCAACGUGAGUGUCCGAGAUCUCAAUGGCGAACUGACGAUCCUUGAAGUCGAACGACGUCGUUUCUUCCAUCUCCGUUCCUUCAAAAGCUACAAUCCUCUGCGUCUCUCGUUAUGGCUGCACCGUUUUUCUCGACGCCUUUUCAACCUUACGUUUACCAGGUACUCGCUCUCUUCACAAUUAUGUUUAAUUGUUUUUUUUUUUAAAUAUUUCGUCAAUUUCUGUUGUUUGCUGAGAAAUUGAGUUCUAUUUACUUCAUGUUCGUGACUAAAACGGGCAUUGAUUGAAUUAAAGAGGCGUUAUUGGAUAUUUUGUCAGAAUUGCCGUCUCAAAUUACUUUGGCGUUUGAUCCAUUUUGCUUUACCCGCGAAAUUGAAGAUCGUGGCUGCUAGUUUUUCAGCUAGGGUUUAGUUUUCGUGCACUAGUUAAUGGACAUUUUAGGUUUGUGUACAUAUUGUUGCAUUUUGGCAUAUUUCUAAUGUUUGUUAAUUGUUUUAUGUAUCUAGGCAAUUACAAACAAAUCUUUAAAGCUAAUUGGAAGUUACAAAUAAUCUAUUCUUGAUUCACCUAUGUAAUAUUUAGGCUGCUUGCUGUAUGUUAUAAUGGAUUUUAGUUGUUGUCCUUAGGCUAAGUUCAUUUUUGUUCCUUGUAUGAUUAUGGUUCAAUCCAUGGAGCUUCUAUGCUUACAUAUCGCUGGUUAGAGGAAUAAUUGAAGUUUUGUCGGUUUUGUUGAUAUUCUAAACGCGGAGUAAUUUAUGAGCUAUAUUUUACUGCAGAGUCCACAAGAUGCAGUAAUACCAUUUCAGAUUUUGGGUGGUGAAGCUCAGGUUUGUCAGGUACUUAUGAUAACCUCUCAGAAUAUUUCAUGUUUUCUUUCGUUUAUUUUACUGAUUCCUUCUCUUGUUCCUUACUUUUUUAUCUGUUACUCAAAUACAUUUUUCUUAUAUUGGUCUUGCAUUGACAGAUAAUGUUGAAGCCACAAGAAAAGGUUGUUGCUCGGCCUGGUAAGUUGGCUGGCAUUGGGUUUCUUAUAUCAUUUUAUUCUUGUUGGAUAGUGAAAUACAUGUACAGGACAGAUUUUGGAUCAUGUAGCUUAUCUCUUUGCAAUGUUCAUAUGUAAUGUAAUCAUAGUCAAUAGUCAUACACCUGUCUUCCGAAGUCAGCAUUUUGGUCUGUCCAUUACACAUACAUUAAUUUUUUUGAUGCAGUGAUCUGCUUUAUGCUUGAUCAAUGCUCUACCAUUUUAUGUCUCUGGGUCGUCUCAUCUUGUCUUGCCUUUACACCCUUUUGCUAGUUGGUAUGCACCAUCAUCCUCCUGGCUUCAUUCUGUUAUUCAUUAUUUGGUAUAAGUUACCUUCACUGGCUAGGAAAAUUUACUUAACACUCCUUGAAAAUGUUGCUUAACUGGAAAUUAGUUUGCCAAAUCAUUUGGUUUCUCCUUCAAUUUAGCCUCUUCAUUGGACCCUUGUAAUAGGGACUUCUUGCAAUGGAUAUUUACGUGCUUGCCGCUUGGCAUGAGGAUUUUGCCAUAAAGUUGAAGUAAAGACAUGGGGAUUGCUUCAUAAAAUAGGCAAUGUUGCCAAAGGCCAUGUCCAUGAUACAUGCAGUUCAAUUUAUGAAUUUUGAAUUGUAAGACUUGUCUUCUUCAGUUAUACAGUGAUGACUGGUUCAACUGAGAGACGAAUAAAUUUCAGGUUCCAUGUGCUUCAUGUCUGGGUCAAUGGAAAUGGAGAACAUUUACAUCCCUGAAAAUGAAGUAGGUAUGUGGCAAUGGCUUUUUGGCAAGACCAUCACUAGUGUAGUUCUUCGCAAUCCUGGUCCAAGUGAUGGAUUUGUUGGAAUUGCUGCACCUUCUCUUGCAAGGAUUCUCCCGGUUUGUACUUUACAUCAUGCCGAAUUUCUGCAAUUAUUACAUUUCCUGCAUAUGUGAACUUAACCCAUGCUCCUGAAAUGGUGUUUGAUAAGACUAACUAUAGCAUAUGGUUUUUGUUUGAUUCCAUUUCAUUUUACAGAUUGAUUUAGCUAUGUUUGGUGGAGAGCUUUUAUGUCAGGUAUACCCAACUUGUUCACUUUAGUUGUUUCCCUGUUCGACUAAGAGUUUAUUUAGUAUUCUUCUAGUUGUUGUUACUAAAUUUGGAUAUCUUGUAGCUGCCUGCUGCUGCAUUGUUUAGAAUUUAUUUUUGUGGUAGAAAAUUACCUUUUUCUUGUUUCACUAGCCGGACUUUUAUCUGAUUUUGUUAAAUUGUUUAUAGCCAGAUGCAUUUUUGUGCUCCGUCAAUGAUGUGAAAGUUAGUAAUACUCUUGAUCAGAGGGUACGCAAUGUCAUUGGUGGUAUAGAGGUAAGUCGAGAAUAACUGUCAGUUUUCCUCUGGGCGUGUGUGUGUGUGUGUUCACGUGCCAUGUGUGAGCUAUUUGAUUGCCUUCUCUGCUCCUCUAAGCAAAUUGUUUUGCCGAUUUCAAUUUUCUCCCUUUUAUUUUCUACUUUCAAGGCUUAAUAUAUAUUAGUUUACUUUAAUGGGAUUGUAGGGAUUUCUGAGACAGAAGCUAACUGGCCAGGGGCUUGCAUUCAUUCUUGCUGGGGGAUCUGGUAUGUGUCUUUUGCGUUUACACUUGAAGAUAAUUUUUUCAUGGCCAAGAAUGAAUUGGAACUGAACAUAAAUCAGGUUUUAAGCAUUUCCUUGCCAGGAAUAUGUAUUGGCCUUUUGGUUCUAGGCAAUGCUUGUGUAUCUGGCUCUGUGUAUUUAUAACUCAAUCACUAAAUUUGUUUCUCCAAGCUCAUUUCUUGGCCAAAUAAGAGAUUUUUCUGUUCCCCUCUAUCAUACUUCUCCUUCUAACUGUUUAAUUCUAUAAUAGUGUACUCUUUGAUUAUAGGUUGCCACUUCUGCUAUAUAAUUUGCUAACAUUCUUGGAUUUAUUACCAUUUAGACUAAUCAUAGAAGCAUUAUCUGUUUCCAAUUUGCUAGUUGUGCAGAAAAAUCUGGAGGUGGGUGAAGUAAUUACUGUUGAUGUGUCUUGCAUUGUUGCUGUUACUUCCUCAGUCAAUGUCCAAAUCAAAUACAACGGACCCAUUCGAAGGGCGGUCUUUGGCGUAAGUUGCUCCUAUUACUAAGUUUCCUUGUCUCUGUUGACCUUGUUAAAGAUUCUUGGUACUUGUGGAUUGAAACCAUUUAAUUCUGAUGAGAUUGUUGGCUGAACAGUGAGUCUAGUGUUUGUAGGACAUUGUGAGCUAUGUGUGUUGAGUCCCGUAACACUUGUGGCUGCUUUUAAAGGAACAAAUAUUUAGUUUUGUGUAAGGACUUUGAAGAUGAGUGCAGCUUAUUCCACCUUUAUAAGACAUUCCAAAGUACCCUGUUCAUUGGAGCCACUUGUCUUUUGAGGGUCCUACAUUCAUGAUUUUGUGUAUACAUCGUUGUUUUUCAGACCCUUAUGUUUACAACUAUGGUGAAAUUGCAGGGUGACAAUUUAGUGACGGCAGUUGUAACAGGACCAGGCAUUGUCUUCAUCCAAAGUUUGCCUUUUCACCGACUUUCUCAGCGCAUAGCUAGGUAAUUUCUUCUUGCAGCAUAGUAAAGAAUUUCUUUCCACCUUUGAAUUAGAUUUUCACUUCCUUUGUUUUGCUUACCAAGCAGUAAUUUUGUAAGGUGUUAGUAAAAUGAAUGGUUUUAUGCUUUGCAGGGCAGUUACAUCUCCAAACAUGAGAGAAAAUCCAAAAUUCUUCGUUCAGAUUGCUAUUUUCUUUUUUCUUGCAUAUGUGGUGAUUGUAUCUUCAUUAAUCUUGACCGAUGUAUGAACCGUAAUUUUCUUUUCCUCCUUUUAAGGAACCUAUAGUAUAGUUUGUGUCAUUUGUUGUUGAUCUGCGAUUCAAAAUAACCUUAAUAUUUUCAGUUAAAUGGAAACAAACGGUUACGAAUUGGUUGUCUGGAUUUUAAUCAUCUGUUGAUAUUUUAUCCUCCAAAUAAAGUCCUGAAGAUGAUGAAAUUUGGGCAAAUUUGUGUUUCUGCGAUUCAUAACUUUGAAUUUUGUUAAAGGGCACAGUAGGAUUCCGAUGAGUCAAACUUUGCUGUCCGUGAGGACCAUAAGCGUUGAGUCGGGUGAUGAAGUUGGGGUUCCUGGUUAUUGUGGGGGAAAGAGCAGACUUUUAAUAUAACUUAUCUAAUUUGGGAAUCAACAGCAAAUCCGUUGUAGUCUAGUCGGUUAGGAUAUUCGGCUCUCACCCGAAAGACCCGGGUUCGAUUCCCGGCAACGGAAUUUAACUUUUUAUUGAAAAAUGAUUGAACCACGUUUCAUGCUGCCGUGCAGGGAUGUGCAACUUUUGGGGAAAACAUCUUGUGAAUUGAUGAUUUACAUUCUAACAAGAAUUUAUUUCUUUUUAAUUUGGAGACGCUAUCCUGUAAUUAAAGCUUAACCAUUUACUACAGUCAAGACAACACAAAUCAAUAUUUUUUAAACAGAAUAAUAUUUUACAAUCUCCUUAAUUUAUCUCAUUAGCCUUCAUUCUUCAAUUAAUCUUACAACGAAUUUUAAAAUUACAUAAAAUACUCAUAUACUCAAGCCUGAAUUCUUGAACAAACUUUCCACAAUCCAUUAUAAUCUCUCCCUCUCUCUAUGUGUGAGAGUGUGUGUGUAUUGCUAAUUUUAUAAGAGAAAUCUCCAAGCCUUUUAUCCAUAGUUGAUGGAUUAUUUCAAACUAAUUUAAGACAUUAGGUUUGGAGAAAAUAACUUUUUCAGGGUGAUGUUUCUAUGCUAGGUUGAUUGAUUUUAAAUUUAUAGAAAAUACUUUCGUGAAAAGAUUAUUAUUAUUUUUAGUUAAGUUAAAGAAAAAGAUUAAUUUUCUAGACUCAUUUCAUAGUUUUUGAAAAUUUUAAUGAGUAUGUCGUCAAUAGUUUAAUCUUUAAUGAAAAUUUGAGAGUGUUCUACCUGAAAUUAACUAUUUAAGUUGAUGAAGAAAAUACGUAAGUUUUAUUCAAAAAAUAUUUUAUUGUAAUCAUUUUAAAAUUUAACAUGAGCACUUUAGUAAAUAAAACAAUUUUUACACGAGGGUUUUCAAUAAGAAGUUUAGGGGGUGCUCUACUCAUUCUCUUAUAUACAAUAUAUUCCAAGUCAGCAUAGAUUCUGAAGGUCUGGGCAGUUAACAAGAAGGAAAAUUUUUAACACCCCUCUAAUGGUAUGAUUACUUACCGAUUAGGGAAUCUUAAUCUAUAACUAGAAUUAUUAACAAUGUUUAUUUUAUAAAAUAAGAGCGAGAAUUAAAAUCAUAAUCGUGGUCAACCACAAAUUAGAAAUGAGAAAUGAGAGAUUGAUUUUCACUGGGUUAGAAAUCGAUCUUCCACUCUUAGUAAGGGUGGGCAAAUAACUCGAUCCGACCCAAAAAAUAGAGUUUGGAUCAAAUUAGAUUACUUACCCAAUUCGAUCAAGUGCUCUUUACUCAACUCGAUUAGAUUAGAUUAAAUCCAAUCUUAUCCGAAAAAUCUAAUUGGGUUGGUCUUGACUCAAAAAAAUUGAGCCAAAUAUUGACUCACUCUCUCGCACAAACAACAGUCGCUCACACACACAAAAAAAAAAACCAAAUCUUUGACUCGCUCUCUCACAUAGUCAACACAACACUCACACCACGCAAGCACACACAUAUGCUGCGGCAUCAUUCACCAAACAGACAAAUACAUACAUAGAUUGAAGAUGCCAGAUGCAGUGCAGAUGGCAAUUAGAAUGGCAGCACAGACAAACAUUGCAGCAAGCAGUCACCGACUCACCAACGCAAACACGCGAAGCUAAGCCAUCACGAGUCCGCAACGCACCGAUACGAUCUACUGCAGCUCGGCUGCUGCCGCCUCUUGCUUCACCAACCACUGUGAUUGUUGCUGCAGGUUGCUCCACCUCAACCGACAUCCAUCGUCACCGAGUUUCUCUAAAAUAAAGUUUUCAUGGUAUAUUACUAUAUUAUAUUAAAUAAUUAUAAUGGGGUUUAUUGUUUGACAUAUUGUGGCAUUAAAUCAUAAUUGCAAUCACCAAAGUUUAUGAACUUGAAUGCAAUUUCUAGUUGAGAAACAAAAAUAGAGUUGAGAAUGAGUCAGUAAGAAAGGAAAUAAAGCUCAUUGAAGUGUUAAUCCUAACCUGAUUUGAUGGGAACUCAACUCAACUUUUUGAUCUGAUCCGAAUAUAUUCAAAUAGGAUCGGAUCGAAUUACAAAUUCAUGUUGAAUUUAAAUGAGUUUUUCUCCAACCUGAUCAACUUGAAACUUGAUUAGGUUGACUCGAACUCAAUCCAAACUUGAUUUUGUCCACC